GUGCCAGCAGCCGCGGUAAUACGUAGGGGCCAAGCGUUGUUGGGAAUUACUGGGCGUAAAGCGCGCGUAGGCGGCCACUGCAAGUCACUUGUGAAAUCUCCGGGCUUAACUCGGUAGGGUCAAGUGAUACUGCAGAGCUAGAGUGCGGAAGAGGCAGCUGGAAUUCUCGGUGUAGCGGUGAAAUGCGUAGAUAUCGAGAGGAACACCGGUGGCGAAGGCGGGCUGCUGGGCCGACACUGACGCUGAGGCGCGAAAGCUAGGGGAGCAAACAGGAUUAGAUACCCUGGUAGUCCUAGCCCUAAACGAUGGGUGCUUGGUGUUCGGGGUCUUCUAGUCCCCGGGUGCCGCAGCUAACGCGUUAAGCAUCCCGCCUGGGGAGUACGGUCGCAAGACUGAAACUCAAAGGAAUUGACGGGGACCCGCACAAGCGGUGGAGCAUGUGGUUUAAUUCGACGCAACGCGAAGAACCUUACCUGGGCUAGAAUGCCCCUGACAGCCCCAGAGAUGGGGUCUUCCGGGUAACACCGGACAGGGUGCAAGGUGCUGCACGGCUGUCGUCAGCUCGUGUCAUGAGAUGUUGGGUUAAGUCCCGCAACGAGCGCAACCCUUGCCAACAGUUGCCAGCGGUUCGGCCGGGCACUCUGUUGGGACUGCCGUUGAUAAAACGGAGGAAGGUGGGGAUGACGUCAAGUCCUCAUGGCCCUUACGCCCAGGGCUACACACGUGCUACAAUGGCCGGCACAAAGCGCUGCGAACCCGCGAGGGGGAGCCAAUCGCAAAAAGCCGGUCCCAGUUCGGAUUGGGGUCUGCAACCCGACCCCAUGAAGCCGGAAUCGCUAGUAAUCGCGGAUCAGCCAUGCCGCGGUGAAUACGUUCCCGGGCCUUGUACACACCGCCCGUCACGCCAUGGGAGCGGGUUCUACCCGAAGUCGCCGGGAGCCUUAGGGCAGGCGCCGAGGGUAGGGCUCGUGACUGGGGCGAAGUCGUAACAAGGUAACCGU
rnacentral:rRNA from 1 species